UUCCUCGCUCUGAUUAGGGUAAAUUUCCCCAAACCCUAAGCUCACCCUCCAAAAGCUUUUUAUAUUUUUAAUUUUUUAAUUCUUUUUCCUGUCCGUCUUUCGAUCUUUCGGCGGCGCGUGGGGUCAAUUGGAGGCGCGUGUAGACCACAACCGUAGCCGAUUCAUGGUGGUUUAUCCGUCACCUGCAUUUGGAAACCCUCGCCGGAGAUCCACCGGAACCCUAGCGAAAGACACCGGUUCCGUACUUCCAUGGCGUCCGCCGUCUUAGCCAAUCGUAACGAACCCAAUUGGCCACAGCCCAGAGGCGGUGCCGGAGCCGGAUUCAUGGGAAAAGUUCCUUUUUCGAACCCAAACCCUAAGAACCCUAAAAGGCAAUUCCACUUCCAUACUCCCACGGGGGGUGAUUAUAACGGGUGUCAGAUCGACGAGUCGCCGGCCGUUACCCAAGCGGUGUCGGAUGACGCGUCGUCGAUCAACCGCCGGUCCAACGAAUUCAAUUUGGGGCAUUCCCAAUACGUGAGCUUCAACAUCGCAUCGUAUUCGAGGAAAGAGCUGAGCGAGCUCAAGAACCGUCUGAUCGCCGAGCUCGACCAGAUUCGACAAUUGAAAGGACGAAUCGAGGCCGGAGAUUUUCAACCCAGGCCGUUCCACAACCAUCCUUUGUCGAAGAAAUCAUCGAUGCAGAACAAGAAAAUCUCCGGUUCAAAGCGACCUUUACCACUCAAUCUGAAUCACGCUAAGGAUUCGAAUUCCAAGAGGUCGCAUUGGGACAGUCCCAAUUUGAUCAAGAAUUGCGGCCAGAUUUUGUCGAAGCUGAUGAAGCACAAGCACGCCUGGAUCUUCAACAAGCCUGUUGACGUGGUAGGUAUGGGGCUUCACGAUUACUACGACAUCAUUAAGCGACCGAUGGAUCUCGGAACCGUCAAAUCGAAUCUGGGCAAGAAUUUCUACUCUUCGCCUAUGGAUUUCGCCGACGAUGUGAGGUUGACCUUCACCAAUGCCAUGACUUAUAACCCUAAAGGCCACGAUGUUUAUGUUAUGGCCGAUCAGCUUCUUAUAAGGUUCGAGGAGCUUUUCAGGCCUGUGAACGAGAAAUUGGUGGAUGGAUCGCGGGCCGAACGGACUUACGACGAAGAUUUACAAGCGAGUUCUUGGAAUCAUGUGGAACCGGAAAGGCCGCCAAAGCAGCGAGACGAUUCUUUGCGGAUCGAGAAGAAAUCAGAGCCAAUUCGGGCCCCGGCAAGCUCUUCUAACCCGCCAUUGGUGCAAUCGCCGGUUCGGACGCCUACACCGAUGAGGGCUCCGCCGGUGAAACCGUUGAAGCAGCCGAAGCCCAAGGCCAAGGAUCCGAACAAGAGGGAGAUGAGUAUGGAGGAGAAACACAAAUUGGGUAUUGGGUUGCAGAGUUUGCCGCAGGAGAAGAUGGAACAGGUGGUGCAAAUCAUAAGGAAGAGGAAUGGCCAUUUGAAGCAGGAUGGGGAUGAGAUUGAGCUCGACAUUGAGGCCGUUGAUACAGAAACGUUGUGGGAGCUGGAUCGGCUUGUCACCAAUUGGAAGAAGAUGGUGAGCAAGAUUAAACGCCAAGCUCUCAUGGGAAAUAACAAUAUGGCUGCGAACAACAAAGGCAAUGGGGAAUUACCUUCAACCGAGAGGAAUGAAGCUGCAGUGGAACCGAAAAGGCCAAAGAAAGGGGAAGCAGGGGAUGAAGAUGUAGACAUAGGGGAUGACAUUCCGAUGAGCAGCUUCCCACCGGUGGAAAUCGAGAAGGAUGUUGGAGGAGGCCGUGCGAGUAGUAGUAGCUCAAGCAGCUCCAGCAGUUCGAGCAGUGGUUCCUCCUCAUCUAGUGAUUCAGAUUCUGGUAGUUCUUCUGGGAGUGAAUCCGAUGAUGAUAAUGCGCAAUCGUAGUGGACAAUGCGCAUUGAAUCGGAUAAGCAGGAUACCCAUGUGGAGAGCUUGCGGAAGAAAUUUUUUCCAACCGCGUGCUUUCCAUGAGGGAGAAAGCCUUUCAAGGUGAGGAGAUUUCUAACUCGGGGGAAAAAAAAAAAAAAAGCAAAGAAGAGACUCGGCAGAAAUGAUUUCUGAACUUGCAGUUGUUGGAGGAAUUGGGAUGGCGUUGGGGGUUUGGUAUUUCUGGAUGGUUGUUGUGUGCCUUCUGGAGGGUGUGCUACAAAAAUGUAAAGAGAACUUCGAAAAACCGAAAAAGGAAAGGAAAAAAAAAAUGUGUAGCUCAGAAGAAGGUUUAGACAAGUAGCGAAACAGUUAGAGAAGAAGGUGGUAGGAGAAAAAAUAGUGAGAUGAAUUAGAGGGCUGAGAACAUUGUGUAAACAUUUUACGACACUAAAUACAUAUAUUUUUUUCUCUCGUA